UCCAGGACUGGGCAGCCACCUCGCUGGCACGGUGACAAGCACGUACUUAGGCUUCCUUUCCUCCUCUGUAACGAGAAAACUGGAGGGGCCUUCCGCCUUCUAACACGUGGGACAUUCAGCCUCCUCCAAAAACGUGAGGCUGUACGUUUCGUGUUUAGUGGUUAGUGAAGCUUCCCCAGCUCAGGACGCAGCUCACUGGCCUUUACUAUAACGAGGAGCUGUCCCCACGUGGGAACUGGUACCACGUCCGGCCGCGCACCAUCAGAGUUCCGCCCGUGAAACGACGGGGAACAGAAACGUCGCACCUUUGUGUUCCUGGAGCGUUUUGGUGGCAACUUCAGAAACUGACUCCCCAAACCGCCAUCUGCCCAGCCCUGGAAGGCGUCUGCGCCGGGCAGAAUUCCUGUUUUCUGGGCACAGACAGGUGGGUCUAGAUUUCGACUCUGAGCUCUCAAGAGGUGGAAGUACAAGGAGAAACAUGGUCAGUUACAGAUGCAUGGCGUCUACACAGUAAAACUCAAGAGCAUCCCAGAAAUACAGCCUUUCUCAGGUAUCCUGAUCACUACUGACUCUCAGCAUUGUGAUCUGAGGUUCAUGUUUCCCAUAUGUGCCCAUCGGGGUACCCUGAAUUAUCCAGUAGACAAGGCCCCGUAAUAAAUAUAGUAUUGAAUUUCCCGUG